AUUCAAAUGGAAGGGGUCUUCUCUACAAGUCUUCUACUGACUGUCUGGCUCAGUCAGUGAGAAAAGAAGGAUUUUUUCCCCUCUAUAAAGGAUUUCUACCAACUUGGUUUAGAAUGGCUCCCUGGUCUUUGACGUUCUGGCUUACAUUUGAGCAAAUGAGACGAGCAAUGGGCAUCAGCUCAUUUUGAUGAUUUUAAGAGUUGGACCUAGAGUAUUUUUCUGAGCUGAACAUUCCAGACCUAAUUUUUUUAGGUGUGAAUUUAGUCAUAUACAGGUACAUGCUGCAGGACAUGAAUAUUAGGAUAAAGUUAAGAUUGAUCACUGU